GACUUUUGACGCAUAUUGCGGUCCAUGCAAAAGUUUAAAUUUUUGUUUAAACUGCAUGGACCACGUAUGGUUGAGUGUCGUA
rnacentral:rRNA from 1 species